rnacentral:rRNA from 1 species
GACGAACGCUGGCGGCGUGCUUAACACAUGCAAGUCGAACGGAUCAAGGGAGCUUGCUUCCUUGGUUAGUGGCGAACGGGUGAGUAACACGUGAGCAAUCUGCCCUUGACUCUGGGAUAACUGCGGGAAACUGUAGCUAAUACCGGAUACGACGCGCGAAGGCAUCUUCUGCGUGUGGAAAGAAUUUCGGUCAGGGAUGAGCUCGCGGCCUAUCAGCUUGUUGGGAGGUAAUGGCUCACCAAGGCGACGACGGGUAGCCGGCCUGAGAGGGUGACCGGCCACACUGGGACUGAGACACGGCCCAGACUCCUACGGGAGGCAGCAGUGGGGAAUAUUGCACAAUGGGCGAAAGCCUGAUGCAGCAACGCCGCGUGAGGGACGACGGCCU